rnacentral:tRNA from 1 species
GGCGCCGUGGCUCAGAUGGCAAAGCGUCUGUCUAGUAAACAGAAGAUCCUGGGUUCAAAUCCCAGCGGUGCCU